UGAAACGCUUGGGCUGAGAUUUAAAAGCCAUUUAAGGGGCAUACAGUGUGUUACGGCCUUUUAUCAAAGCUGCUGUGAGCAUGGCAUGUUAGAAACCAUUUUGGUGAUGGGAAUGAAGCUAUUUCUUUUAUGGGGCAGCGCUGACUCUGCAAGCUAAAACAGGAGCAGCAAGCAGUAAAUGCAUCCACUUGGUUACUGGAGUGAGAGGCUUGGAGUCUGAAUUCAGUGGUGAUCUGGUUUGCCUUUUACUUCAUUCAGCACCCAGCACGAAGUGAGGUCUUUGCACUCUGACUGGAGUCAUUAGGCACUUGCUAAGCAUUAACCCUGGGACCGUGGAACAGAGAAACCCAACUGGCUGGCAUGGCUGCAGCUGCAGAAAUGGAGGGAAGCCCGAGUGUUUCAUGCACAGGCCAAUCCCACGACCCCUGAGGAUGUUGGCACCGGUGGGAAUGCAUUGCAGCCCUCCCCAGCUGCAGUCCCUGUGCACCUCAGAGGAGCCAACGCUGUAAAUCCCAUUCUGAUGGUCUGUUGUCACACCUUGCCCCAGGGAUGAGGGUCUGUGAGAGGAUGCUGGAGCCCUGAUCCUUGCACAGCAGUAACUGCAUUGCAGGACGUGCUGAGCCUUGGAAAUUUGGGCUGGAAGGGCUCUUUGGGACUCUGUUCAGAGACACUUGCAAGAUUCACAGACUGAUGGAAGGACUGUACACCUCUGGCCGUCUCUGUUUUUGUAAAUCCUGUCUGGACUAAAAUGAUGUUCUGGGGAACGCAGAUCUUGACCACACACACUGUCAGUACAGGACCUUGGACUUGAACUUUGUGCCUCGGACUUCAGCUUUGUGAGCCCUUAGACAGCCCUUCUGCAGCUGCAUCAAUCCACACACAGUCACAGCUCUCAGUUGGGAGGUGACAGGCACAAAGCUGCCACUGGCUCUGUGAUUACUUCUCUGCAAAGUCAAACAGGUGAGCAUACUCUGCUGGUGGCCUAAGCGCUUUUAUUUGCCUUAACACUGGCCUUGAGCAGCGGUUAAGCACAGCUGGCACCGGCCUCAGGAGGCAACAAUCACCUGCUGCUCCUCUUAAGCUUUUCUAUACUGCAUAAGAAGCCAUGUUCUUGCUCUAGUAGCCCAAAUAGGUGUGGAAUCAGCACAGAAGCAGCAUGAAACUGCCUUUCUGAUUUUAUAUCUUUGAUAAGCUGUGUUGCAAAUGCUGGGAUUGCCCCAGAGUUACACACGCCACAGACUCAAUAUGACAUUGUGGAACAUUGGUAUCUUGCCUUCCUGGGCUCCGUUUAUAAUACCAACUAGAAAGAUUUUCCAGGACAAAUGGGAAUUUGGCCCUUGACUUUUUGAUUGUGUAUACAAACAAGCCUCAGGCAUGCAGGAUUUGGCCUAUUUGACUAAUGUGCUCUGAGCUUCUGAGGAUGCUCUGCUGCCUUUUCACUAGAAAGCAAAGGCAGUUUUGUGCCCAACAGGAGACAGUUUUUCUUGAUAUUUUUUUUGUUGGUCUCCUCUGCUGCCUUCCCCUGCAAAGGGGUGUGAAGGGGUGGUGCAGCAUGUGGGUUUUAACUGGAUGCCAUCCCUUUAAUGUGGAGUUGUGUGGGUUUUUUUUUUUUCAGGGCCAAAAAUAAAUGCUAGUGAAGGAAUAAACAGACGUGAAAAGAAAGCUUGGACACUUGGAGGACAAGACUGCUUUGUGUUUCCCAAAGCAAUAAGCCCCUUCACAAGGAGGUUACUCUUUCAGAAAAACACGAGUCCUGUGACAGUGCCAAGGUCAGUAGGUGCCCAGCAGAGCAGGGCAUACAAGGCAGACAUGUUUUGGGAAAGGGGCAUAUUUGCUCCCCUUGAAAGAGAGGAGAGAGGAGGAGAGAAAUCUACCUUGCUCUGCCAUUUCAGCUCUUUCUACAGGGUUUGAACAUGCACCAGUUUGGCAGCAGAAGACAGCUUCCAUCUAUCUCAGGUAGAAAUGUGGCCCCAGCACUAUGGCUGCAUCACCUGCAUGCUGGCUUGGGAAGAGGGCCGUGCUGCUGCCAUUCUGCAGCUGAGGAAGCAGGAAAAUGACAUCUCUAAUGGAGAAAUCAGUGGUGUCUGCGUGAUGCUGGAAGAGGGCAGAAAUCAUGGCAGCUCUGAGCUGCCAUGGGGACACAGUGCAGUCCAGGCCUCCAAGUUCCCCGUAACGCAGCAUGCAGGAUGCGCCCUCAGGAGAGUGCUGUGGUCCUGCUAAGAAGAGCUGCCUUCACAGAAGGUGAACGAGGCAGUAUCAUCCUCAGUAACAAGGAAUUUCUGUCUGCAUGGCUGUCGGGUUCAGAAGUCACAUCCUGUUACCAGCUUUAAAACUUGAUGCUGCACAGAAAGGUAGGUAGAGAAGUCCCACUAUCCUACACCAGCUGAUGAGUUUGUGUGCUUGAGACUCAAGGCAUCUAUUCAUUUUGUUAAGCUUUUAUUUAUGUAUUUAUUUAUUUUUCUCUUUAUAGAGAACUAAAUCUCAACUAAUACCAGCUGGGCCCCAGAACAGAGUCCAGCUCUUAAGAACGCUGUCCUGGCUGUCCCAUCAGUUCUCUCAAUUAAACUUGAUCAACACUAGCCUCAUUAAAAAGACAAAGCCCAGCAGUAAUCUUCUAAAACUAAAAGAUGCUUGGCAGCUUGG